rnacentral:lncRNA from 1 species
AUGCUGAGUGUCACAGUGCAAAAUUGGCCAGAAUCAUCAUGUCUAUGUGCUCUCCCUCCCAUAAGCAGUUUGAGUGUGUGGCUGCUGAACAGACGAGCCACACCACUGUUGUACAUCCUGUGCUGGGGAUCAGGGAACUCUCCCAUUUCAUUAAUACCUUCGUACAUCAGGGAGACUAACGAAAGUUCAGCGAAUCUGAAGAUCCUACUGAUAGGUGUGUCCAUCAUUUCUGAGGAAACCGGCAUGCUGAGAAGUAAAAAAUGUCCCCAAGCUGAAGAAUCUUUAUUCAAAUAUCUGAGCAGAGAUGGACAUGUUAAUGAAUCACUUUUCUCAAAAUUUUAUUCAAAAAAUUAUACAUUUUUGGCCAGGUGCGGUGGCUCACGCCUGUAAUCCCAGCACUCUGGGAGGUCUAGAUGGGCAGAUCACGAGGUCAGGAGAUCGAGACCAUCCUGGCUAACAUGGUGAAACCCCGUCUCCACUAAAAAUACAAAAAAUUAGCCAGGCUUGGUGGCGGGUGCCGGUAGUCC